GUGCACAGAUGGUGCAAAAUCAAUGAUAGGAAAAUUUUCUGGUUUUGUGGCACUGGUAAAGAAGAUAAUUAGUCCAGUAUGAAUUAAAAUUGUCUUGUAUAACAUGGAAAAUAAAAAGAAAAUCUAUAACAUUUUAUUUUUUCUUAGCUGUAAGUAACAACUAAGAUGAAAGAUGAAAAAGGUUGGGAAACACUGCUGAGGAAUAUUUAAUUCUCUAAAUAUCGAAGCAUUAGACACCAUGGCAGAAUCGUGCAAAAUUUCAUUUUGUAUUCAUUGUAUUAAUUGGUCAUGAGGAUUUGGUUUUGGCCAAACUUUUUUUGUCUUUUUGAUUAUACAGUCUAGGUUUAUAUUAUAGAUUAUAUCACAGGUUUAUAUGACAGUUUUCUGGAACUUUUAUGGAAUUAAUUUUUAUGUUUAAUAUACAGCAUUUUACUUAUUA